GACGAACGCUGGCGGCGUGCCUAACACAUGCAAGUAGAACGCACAGUUUAUACCGUAGCUCGCUACACCAUAAACCGUGAGUUGCGGACGGGUGAGUAACGCGUAGGUAACCUUCCUUGGAGCGGGGGGUAACUAUAGGUAACGAUAGCUAAUACCGCAUAAUAUUGAUUAUUGCGUGAUAAUUGAGUCAAAGAUCCUAUGGCAUCACUACCGGAUGGACCUGCGUUGUAUUAGCUAGUAGGUGAGGUAACGGCCCACCUAGGCGACGAUACAUAGCCGACCUGGGAGGGUGGUCGGCCACACUGGGACUGAGACACGGCACAGACUCCUACGGGAGGGAGCAGUAGGGAAUCUUUGGAAAUGGACGAAAGUCUGACCGAGCAAAGCCGGGUGAGUGAAGAAGGUUUUCGGAUCGUAAAGCUCUGUUGUAAGAGAAGAACGAGUGUGAGAGUGGAAAGUCGACACUGUGACGGUAUCUUAACAGAAAGGGCCGGCUAACUACGUG
rnacentral:rRNA from 1 species